UAUACCCAGACGGCCAACUGGGAACCAACUGGGAACUUCAUUUGGCCUGGUGAGCACUCCCCCCUCCCAGAGGCGGUUAUCUAGCUGCAAGAAGACGCUUUGAUAAAGGUGCUAGCUGUGGCUAGACCUGCAGAGGAUCACAAUUAGAUUUUGACAGGAUGAGGAGAAAGAUAACAGCAACGAUUGUGCUUCCUGUUUUUUUAAAAAAAGAAAGAAGUACCCAAGAUAGCUAGAGACAUGUGACAGUGGAUCUCUACCGUGACUCCUUUUCUGAAUAUAAAAUCCAGUUUUCUUAUCGAGCCAAUUCCAAAGGUUCCCCUGUGACCAAAAUCUCUGGAAUUUAACCGCUCCAUGCCUGUGGACCUUGCUCGGCAUAACUUUUCCAACCGAGAGAUGCCUGGUACCACACUGAAUUGAGGGCAGGUGGAGUGUCUCUCCUCAUCCCGUGUCUGGGUCGUGAGAGUGUUUGGGGACUGAGACAGCCGCCCUGUGUCACCUCCACUGAACCAGACCAUUCAGGAUGGAGCCGACCACAGGCCGGCCUAGUGGACUGGGCAGUUUGACAGACACCACACCUUACUCUGAACCAUCUCGUCUAACCCUCAGGCCUCUCACAGCCUGCAGCCCUCUGUGCUCUCCGCCUGACCUACCCCCAGGCUUUCAUCCCUCCUGCCUUUGCCCACCAUGUUCACUCUACUGGAAACGUGCUUCUUCCUUCAAUCUUGAAUAUCUGCCAUCUUUCCAGACCCAACUGGAGCCUGACCUUCUUGCUCCUUCCCUAGUGCCCCAGGGCAGCGUGAGGCACUCGCUCCAACGUUUGACGUUCCUUCUCCCGGGGCACUCAGUGCACGGCCCCCUCUUACGUACGGGCACACAGCGUUUCUCCCAAGAGCAUCAGUCUCUGGGGAGCUGGAGAUGUGCUUCAUGGAUUUUUGUAAUUUCUGGUGUAUGGGAAGCCCUUCAUAAAUGUGGAAUGAAUGCAUAACUGCCUGAAUAAGUAAUGACACCAGUCUCACAUUGCUAACUAAAGUUACUCUUCUACUGCAUCAUAGAAAGACUCUAGAGCUCAUUUUUCCCAAUCUAGUUCUACUUCUUACUAGCUGUGUGGCCUUGGAUAAGUUACUUAACCUCUCUGUCCCUCAGUUUCUUCAUCAUUAAAAUGCAGAUAAUAAUAGAACGAUAUCUCUAUUUCACAGGGUGGCCUUGUCUAACAAAUGUUAGCAUAGAUAAGGUACUUAGAACAGUGCCUGGCAUACAGGAGCCUGAUCUACAGUCGCUGUCACCCCCGUUAUCAUCAGAGAGGACGAACAGACCCAGAGUGGUUGUCUGAGUUACCCAAGACCCAAGCUCCUCUUGCAGGUAACUGUGAAGCUGUGUAAUCUUGGGGAGAUCCAUUCCCCUUUCCCUAUUAUCAGCAGGACUUCGCUGAAGACCAUUUUAGCAACACUUCUGGAUGCCGUUUCAAUGGGGUGCAGAGACAGCAUUUACUUCGUGCUCUCAAAGCUUUGUCUAAAUCCAACACUAUCCUCUUUUCCCAUGGACUUCAUCUCACUUCAGAGACUCUUCAUUUCUGCUGGCUUUCUAGCUCCUCGGGAGUGCCUCCUGAUAUGUUGGUUCUGAAUUUCUGUCACCCCCUAGCCACCCUCCAAUUUCUGACAAAUCUAAUAACAUUUGCUGAGCCAGAACAGCCAGAUCAGCUGAACUGCGCCUGGUGGUCAUUGGAACCACAGAUACUGCAGCUAGAUGGCGCUCACAUCCACACAUUUCUGAGGAAUUAGGCCGUGAAAGAUGUUUUCCAUUAGUACCCAAACUUAAAAAGCUUACAGUCUUGGGGGAAGGGAGAGCAAUAUACUCAGGCACAUGAAAUAACUGAAAAGAAAUUGUAAUAGACGCAUUUUCCAAAUAAAACUCGCCUAUAAUGAGUACUGCAUGUCAGAUGCUGUUUCAAGCCCCGAACUCUUCUCCCAGCACCCCUAAGAGACAGG
rnacentral:lncRNA from 1 species